UUUUAGCUGACGAGUCCCAAAUAGGACGAAAUGCGCUUUAUCCUGGAU
rnacentral:hammerhead_ribozyme from 1 species